UACAGAGGUCCCGAGCGUUGUUCGGAUUCACUGGGCGUAAAGGGUGCGCAGGUGGGUUGGCAAGUUUGAUGUGAAAGCCCCGGGCUUAACCCGGGAAAGGCAUUGAAUACUGCUGAUCUGGAGGAUCGGAGGGGGGACUGGAAUUCUUGGUGUAGCAGUGAAAUGCGUAGAUAUCAAGAGGAACACCAGUGGCGAAGGCGAGUCCCUGGACGAUACCUGACACUGAGGCACGAAAGCCGGGGGAGCAAACAGG
rnacentral:rRNA from 1 species